rnacentral:rRNA from 1 species
UACGUAGGGGGCAAGCGUUGUCCGGAAUCAUUGGGCGUAAAGAGCGCGUAGGCGGUCCGGUAAGUCCGCUCUGAAAGUCCGGGGCUCAACUCCGGAUCUGCGGUGGGUACGGGCAGACUAGAGUGAUGUAGGGGAGACUGGAAUUCCUGGUGUAGCGGUGAAAUGCGCAGAUAUCAGGAGGAACACCAGCGGCGAAGGCGGCGCUCUGGGCCGGUACUGACACUGAGGAGCGAAAGCGUGGGGAGCAAACAGG